rnacentral:rRNA from 1 species
AUCUGCCCUUCGGUUGGGAAUAACUGAGAGAAAUUUCAGCUAAUACCUUAUAAUGUCUUCGGACCAAAGAUUUAUCGCCGAGGGAUGAGCCCGCGUAGGAUUAGCUAGUUGGUGGGGUAAUGGCCUACCAAGGCGACGAUCCUUAGCUGGUCUGAGAGGAUGAUCAGCCACACUGGGACUGAGACACGGCCCAGACUCCUACGGGAGGCAGCAGUGGGGAAUAUUGGACAAUGGGCGAAAGCCUGAUCCAGCAAUGCCGCGUGAGUGAUGAAGGCCUUAGGGUUGUAAAGCUCUUUUACCCGGGAUGAUAAUGACAGUACCGGGAGAAUAAGCUCCGGCUAACUCCGUGCCAGCAGCCGCGGUAAUACGGAGGGAGCUAGCGUUGUUCGGAAUUACUGGGCGUAAAGCGCGCGUAGGCGGUUUCUCAAGUCAGAGGUGAAAGCCCGGGGCUCAACCCCGGAACUGCCUUUGAAACUAGGAGACUAGAAUCUUGGAGAGGUCAGUGGAAUUCCGAGU